AUACGUAGGUGACAAGCGUUAUCCGGAUUUACUGGGCGUAAAGGGCGUGUAGGCGGUCUUGCAAGUCAGAAGUGAAAUUCCUGAGCUCAACUCGGGCGCUGCUUCUGAAACCGCAGGACUUGAGUGCUGGAGGGGAUAGCGGAAUUCCUAGUGGAGCGGUAAAAUGCGCAGAUAUUAGGAAGAACACCGGUGGCGAAGGCGGCUAUCUGGACAGUAACUGACGCUGAGGCACGAAAGCGUGGGGAGCAAACAGGAUUAGAUACCCUGGUAGUCCACGCUGUAAACGAUGAUUACUAGGUGUGGGGGGACUGACCCCUUCCGUGCCGCAGUUAACACAAUAAGUAAUCCACCUGGGGAGUACGGCCGCAAGGUUGAAACUCAAAUGAAUUGGCGGGG
rnacentral:rRNA from 1 species